AUGGGUUCACGCUUGUUCAUAAACGUAUGGGCAAUAGGCCGAGAUAAAGAUGUGUGGACUGAACCUGAGAAGUUUAUGCCGGAGAGGUUCUUGGGUCCGACUAUUGACUUUAGGGGUAUGGAUUUUGAGCUCCUUCCAUUUGGUGCGGGGCGUCGAAUCUGCCCUGGAAUAACAUUGGCAAUUCGGAUGGUGCAUGUGAUGCUCGCUUCGUUGUUAAAUCAGUUUAGGUGGAGUCUCCCUGUUGAGAUGGAACAUGAUGGGAUUGAUAUGGAAGAUCAGUUUGGCAUUACACUAGCGAAGGUCGUGCCUCUUUGUAUUAUAGCAGCACCAAUUUGA
rnacentral:rRNA from 1 species